rnacentral:tRNA from 1 species
GCAGCUCAGUGACAGAGCGUCUUUCUUGCCUGCAGAAGGUCCCAGGUUCAAUCCCUGGCAUCUACA